rnacentral:rRNA from 1 species
CAACGUACAAACCUUAUCGAUAAACAAUUGGAGGGCAAGUCUGGUGCCAGCAGCCGCGGUAAUUCCAGCUCCAAUAGCGUAUAUUAACGUUGUUGCAGUUAAAAAGCUCGUAGUUGAAAUGAAGGGUAGUUGUGUAAUGAAUACAUUCGUGUAUUUUGUUAUUCUACUACCCUCCUUCUAAAUUCGAUAUAUGAGUAUUAAUUUACUUGUAUAUGGUUUUAGACGUUUACUGUGAGAAAAUUAGAGUGUUCAAAGCAGGCAUUUGCUUGAAUAUAUUAGCAUGGAAUAAUCAUGUAUGAUUUUCAUGAUGUAUUUGAUUGGUUUGGUUCAUGAGAAUAAGAUUAAAAGGGACAGUUGGGGGUAUUCAUAUUCAAUAGUCAGAGGUGAAAUUCUCGGAUUUAUGGAAGAUGAACAAGGCGGA